AUUGAACGCUAGCGGGAUGCCUUACACAUGCAAGUCGAACGGAGUGGCGAACGGGUGAGUAAUGUAUCGGAACGUGCCCAGUAGCGGGGGAUAACUACGCGAAAGCGAAGCUAAUACCGUAUCCUAUUGGAGCGGCCGUUAUCGGAGUAGCUAGUUGGUGGGGGAACGGCUCACCGAGGCGACGAUCCGUAGCUGGUUUGAGAGGACGACCAGCCACACUGUAACGGAGACACGGCCCAGACUCCUCCGGUAGGCAGCAGUGGGGAAUUUUGGACAAUGGGGGAAACCCUGAUCCAGCCAUCCCGCGUGUACGAUGAAGGCCUUCGGGUUGUAAAGCACUUUUGGCGGGAAAGCGGUACCUGCAGAAUAAGCACCGGCUAACUACGUGCCAGCCGCCGCGGUAAUUC
rnacentral:rRNA from 1 species